rnacentral:rRNA from 1 species
AUUGAACGCUGGCGGCAGGCCUAACACAUGCAAGUCGAGCGCGCGGCGGACGGGUGCGUACUGUCUGGGAAACUGCCUGAUGGAGUGGGAUAACUACUGGAAACGGUAGCUAAUACCGCCUACGUUCAGAUGUGCCCAGAUGGGUUUAGCUGGUAGGUGGGGUAACGGCUCACCAAGGCGACGAUCCCUAGCUGUUCUGAGAGGAUGACCAGCCACACUGGAACUGAGACACGGUCCAGACUCCUACGGGAGGCAGCAGUGGGGAAUAUUGCACAAUGGGCGCAAGCCUGAUGCAGCCAUGCCGCGUGUGUGAGGAAGGCCUUCGGGUUGUAAAGCACUUUCAGCGGGGAGGCGUUACCCGCAGAAGAAGCACCGGCUAACUCCGUGCCAGCAGCCGCGGUAAUUC